rnacentral:rRNA from 1 species
UGGGGAAUAUCGCACAAUGGGCGCAAGCCUGAUGCAGCAACGCCGCGUGAGGGACGACGGCAUUCGGGUUGUAAACCUCUUUUGGCAGGGAAGAAGCGAAAGUGACGGUACCUGCAGAAAAAGCACCGGCUAACUACGUGCCAGCAGCCGCGGUGAUACGUAGGGUGAAAGCGUUGUCCGGAUUUAUUGGGCGUAAAGAGCUCGUAGGCGGUUUGUCGCGGCUGCUGUGAAAACCCGAGGCUCAACCUCGGGCCUGCAGUGGGUACGGGCAAACUAGAGUGCGGUAGGGGAGAUUGGAAUUCCUGGUGUAGCGGUGGAAUGCGCAGAUAUCAGGAGGAACACCGAUGGCGAAGGCAGAUCUCUGGGCCGUAACUGACGCUGAGGAGCGAAAGCAUGGGGAGCGAACA